UCCCUGGUGGCUCAGAGGUUAAAGCCUCCGCCUGCAAUGCGGAAGACCUGGGUUCAAUCCCUGGGUUGGGAA
rfam:TPA: Bos taurus chromosome 4, whole genome shotgun sequence.